UGGCAUUACUUUCCAAAGGGAAUUGCUAUUCUCUCCAAUAAAUCUUACUGCUUGCAGAACCAAGUUGGCAAUGCAAAACAAAACACCUAAGUAACCAUUUUUGGGACCUCACAAGGAACUAUUUAACCAUUUCAGCGUGUUAAAACUGCUUUUGGGGUGUGUUUUCCCAUCCUGCCUGAGCUGGGCACAGGGCAGCCCUGGGCUCUCCACACAGAGCCUGCCCGGCAGCCCGGAAACACCGUGACCGCUGCUCACAGCGACCGCAGGCCUCGCUGUCAACAGGAAAAGUCCUAAAGCAGAUUUAAAUGAUGGCAAAUGCUAUCCACGUGGCUCCUGCCAGCACAAAAGCCACAGAGUGAGCCAGUUCUCCUGGCUCCACCCCAGUGUGUGCAGGGAGGAUGCACUGGGAAGGAAAAAUACUGAUGGCAGACUUUUUCAUUAAGUGUAACAGCUCCAAAGUUCAAAAAACCCAUGACACAGAAAAUCCCAGAUAGCUGCCUCUUCUAUUUCAACUUUUAAGUCAACUUAAUGUUAGUUGAGGAAAAUUUCUAUUUUUAACAAUUUAUAGCAGGAACUACAUUGCCAUGAACAGACAGACAACCCAUCAUGCAAGCCAUUUCUUCUUCAAAAUUAGUCAUCUGAGGUUAUGGACCUCAGGCCUCAAAUCCCUGCUUUUUCAGCUGAGCCACAACAGGUUCCAAGCCUUUGGUACACACUACGAUAGACACAAAAAGAGGGGGCCUCCUUACCCGAACUACUAAAGAGGUGAGAAAUUUCCUAAAACAUAAUUAUAGAAAUCAGACUUUUUCAAGUCACCUGCUAAACGCUUGAAGAUAAAACAGUUUUUUCCUCUGGAAAGGAGAGCCUGAGAAUGCCAAGUCCUUCCUUUAGUUAUUUAAAAAUGCCUAAUCUCAUCUGCUCCAUCUUAAAGCAAUUCACCAUUUUCAAAUGCAAGAUUUAAUUGUCCUUUAGCCUUUUGGGGCAAAUCAUCCUCAAAUCCUUAGCACCAAUGAACCUGAAGAUCUGACCAGUCCUACUUGGACUGAGAACCAGCUGUGUCUCAAGACGUACUUUUCCUUCAGAAGCUGAAUGACAUAUGUGGCUGUAAAUACCCAGGAAACCUUCACCAGCAAAAAGAGAGAGAGAGAGAGAGAUGUGUCUUCCAAAGAACACCAGGAUCUCUUUCCUUCAGCUUCAUUUUCACCUAAGAGCUAAGACAAAAGGAAAACAGCUGUUUCAGUCCAGACCACCGGAGCCACUGCACUUUGUCAGCUCUGUGGAAUGACAUUUAGCUUCAAAACCUUCUGUGUUUCUUCCUUCCCAGUCAGAGUAGGAAUCAAUAAUUUAAUCAAGUAUUCAUCAGGAGAGGGGAAUAUCCUAUUAGUCAGUGCCUGCAUUCCUUCCUCCUCACUUCUUUGCAUCACUCAGAUUUCCAGAAGAGUACAUAAUUCUUUUUAGCUUAGCCAAAGGCAAAGCUCUAUGAGUUCAAGAAAAAACGAGUAUCUGCAAAUUCAUGUACAACUUUCUAAAGCUAGAAGUGAGUACAUACCCAUUAUAAACAAAUGUUACAACUUUUAGAAAAGAGCCAGAAAAUUCACAAUG